UACGUAGGGGCCAAGCGUUGUCCGGAUUUAUUGGGCGUAAAGAGCUCGUAGGCGGUGUGUCGCGUCGGCCGUGAAAACCUGCAGCUUAACUGUGGGCUUGCGGUCGAUACGGGCAUCACUGGAGUUCGGCAGGGGAGACUGGAAUUCCUGGUGUAGCGGUGAAAUGCGCAGAUAUCAGGAGGAACACCGGUGGCGAAGGCGGGUCUCUGGGCCGAUACUGACGCUGAGGAGCGAAAGCGUGGGGAGCGAACAGG
rnacentral:rRNA from 1 species